AGGAGAAGAUAUAAUUAUUUGUGUUUCCUUGGCAAUAGUGACAUUGUUGUUCGAUGAUAACGGAUGCUUUGACUGUGUCCAUUCUUUCAUGAAAAGAGACAUCGCAAGAUUGGAGAUGACGAAGAGGCUGGUAUAUAUUCAUUUGCAAAUUUGCAGUAAAUGCACAACCAUCUAGAGGAAACUUGAAACAGGUCUAUGAUUCAUUGCUUGUAUGCAUGGAGUUUCUAUUGGUUUGAACUUUAGAGUUGGUCUUUCACGCCAUUUUAUGAGAUAUGGUUAUACUGAGAAACAAUAGUUCGAUCAUGAAAA